CCCUUGGAUGUUCUGGGCCGCACGCGCGCUACACUGACGAUGGCAACGAGUUUUUCCUUCGCCGAAAGGUGUGGGUAAUCUUUUGAAACAUCGUCGUGCUGGGGAUAGAUCAUUGCAAUUUUUGAUCUUGAACGAGGAAUUCCUAGUAAGCGCGAGUCAUCAGCUCGCGUUGAUUACGUCCCUGCCCUUUGUACACACCGCCCGUCGCUACUACCGAUUGAAUGGUUUAGUGAGGACUCCUGAUUGGCGCCGCCGCCCCGGCAACGGAGCAGCGGACUGCCGAAAAGUUGUUCAAACUUGAUCAUUUAGAGGAAGUAAAGGUCGUAACA
rnacentral:rRNA from 1 species